AGAUCUGGAGAAUUCAACUGAAAAUAGAAAAUCCGUUCUUUUUACCUGAGCCUGUAUCUGUGUAUUUAGGAAUAAACACAGUUUUUGUUUCGUAUUUUUACAACAGCUGUUUGGGUAACCUAAAGCACACAGACCGCGAUGCUGGUAUUUACGAGGCCUGCACUCCAAGGCUGUGAGUGCAACUGGAGCUAAAGGAGCCUUGCUGUUCUGCUGGGGCUUUAUGAAAACUUCAGGAGCAUUUGACAAGUUUUACUCUAUUCAGUGGGAGGAAAAAAGGAAAUGUACUUGUAGUUUUUAAGCUUUACAGAAUGAUUAGGUUUUAAUUUAGCAAAACUAUCCUAGACAAACAUAGUGUAUUUCUUUCUUAUAGUCAAAAUAAGAAGCGCCUAUGGUAGAAAGAGUACUGUGCAAAACUUGCUCUAGUGGAUGUGAGAGCUUUUGAGUCUGACAGUUUAAGUAGCGAAGACGAAAGUGAGGACAGUUCUUGGGCAGGGGACUUGAAGAGGAAUGUGAUUCAUGGGGCAUAGUGACUGGCGUAAUUACCAGUGCAGCUGCUGUAGUAAUUUCUGCCAGUGCUAAAAAAGCCUGUCAUGGCCUGUACUCUGCUGGUCAGAGUGUAAGUGAUAACGAUGGCAGCAGCAGUGCCAACUCCAGGCUGCUGUAUGCGAUUGGAGCAGUUUCUGCUAGGUUUCAAAUUGAUAUAAAACCUUCACAGGAUUUCCUGAAGUGUUCAGGCUGAGGAAAAACUUUGGAAUUGGGAGUGGCAAGGUUUUGUUAUGUGUUUUCUGUGAGGAAUAGUAAGAGUAGUGAUACAGAGGGAUUUAAAUAAUCUGAUAAUGAGUAAAACCUGUCAAAUUCAGGCAAGGAAAACCAAGGACUUGAGCACCUUCAAUUUUAACAUUAUCAGCACAAAAGGUUUGUAAGAAAUCCAUUUGCUUCAGUAUUCUAUUAAAUAAGGUUUUAAACUUUUUGUUCUGAUAGAGCUUUCUGUCAUUCUGUAUUUUUUUAAUCACGUUCUGUAAUCUGAAACAUCUGACUUGUGGUUCAGUGUUUGUUUCCAUUUAAGCCAAGUGACACAUUUCAGAGUUGAUCCAGCAUGGAAUUUGGAGGAAGGAGCUCUUGAAGCACUGGGACAGAAGAGUGGGAAGAAACGUUCUGCUGGACCCAGGCUUCUUUCUCAUGUAAAUGGCUUGACCUAGCGAGGAAAAGCUUUUGCUGAAGAGUGAGGGGAAUUUUGAAAUACUAACCACAAAAUGUUAUUUUCUGUCACUAAUGUGCAUCAUCAAAACUCACUUCUCUAGCACUCAACAAAUGUAAUUUGCAUUUAAAAUUGAAGUGGAUUGCCAGAAGUCUUACAUCAGUCUCACAUCAAAGACAGCAGAAUUUCCUAGAAUUCAGGGACUCUGAUACUUACUGUCAGAGCAAUCUGUUUAACUGCCUAGCCCCAACAUCUGCAUUAGCAGCUCAUUGCAUUUCACCUGUGCAGUAGAAAUAAUAAUUUUGUCCUAUUUGAGAGAAGGCUUAGCUUCCUUCCUAGAUGUUCUAAGUGUAAACUGUAAAUACAUAUGCAGUGUUCCUAAUUUCUUUCAGUCUUCCUUAUCCUCUUCAAAGAGUUUCCAGAUCUUGCUCUUUUUCAACCUUUUAUUUACCUUUGAUUUCAUUUCUGCCAUUUCCAUCUCCUGUUCUUAAUAACGUGCCUCCCUCAGAUUGUUGCUGAAGAAUGCCAAACAGUGUUUGUGGCUCGAUUCAAGAAAGAGAUUAAGGAGGAGAUCACAAUUUCCUGCAUCCAAAGGUAUCAGAAGAUUGUUAGCUAAUUUAUGAAAACAUUCUGUAAUCAUUGCUCAUUGUUGUCCCUGUUGACUGAUGGUACGAGUUCCACAGGCUUAAAUUCGGGCACAAGAGGAGUCCUAAAAUAACACUGCAGAGUUUCUCCUUGUGCAGCAAGCGACUCUGCUCAUCCCAAGCACCUGGUGACUGCAACCUGAGUGACAUGGUUCAAAAUGUCAUUGAGGGAGAGAGAAAUCUGACCAAUGGAUUGAUAACUGAGUAAUACCUGUGAGAUGUACAAAGAAGGAGGAAGAACUGAGUCUGUUUUAAAGAUGAGUAAAUUGAG
ensembl:lncRNA